rnacentral:miRNA from 1 species
CCUGUGCAAAAAGUCGUUAAGC